rnacentral:lncRNA from 1 species
AACAAAUUUCAAUGGCCGUAGUGAACCGUUUGCAAGUUUAACGGUGUAGAAAUAUCCAAAUCAUGUGAAAUUUUGAUAGAAAAUUCUUUAUACUAUAUAAAACAAAAUUAAUAUCUUUGAUUUAAAAUUUUAAUGUCAUAUUAUUAUAUUUCGUAAGAUUUUUAUUUUCAGCCGUUGAUUUUGAGCCCCUUCGUUCACUAGGCAAAUGAUAUCGUAAAAUAAUAAAAUUUAUUUUCUAGGUACUUCAAAUACUCUAGAUCAAGUUUAACGGAGCCAAUCGACGAUUCGAAAGUCGCAAUAUUGAAAACGAGCUGGAAGCACGGAAGGCUCCAUGCUUCCGAUAGCAUAGUAGCCUCACUAUAUAUAUAUAUAUAUAUAAGUCUUAAUUAAUAACUAUAUAAUCUCAUAAGUAAGUUAUCCUAAGAAGAGGUAAUCUCACCUUUCUAUCUAAAAGGUGACAGUAUUUAAUAAAUACAAAUCUCAACUGCAGCCUACCAAACAGAAGAAAUGUAACUGCAACAGUUGCAACUGUAUAGAACCAAACAGACUAGGUGUACUUAUAACUGCAGCAUUUGCAACUGCAUGUAUUUCCAACUACACUGUUUUUGCAACUACAUCCAACCAAACGGCCCCUAAGUACUUUUGAACUACCCUGAUACUCCUUCUGCAGCAUAUCCCACGCUUUCUUUGAUUUUGUCGCAGCGA